GGCCUCGUAGCUCAGUUGGCAGAGCAUUGGACUAAUAUUCCAAAGGUCGCGGUUUCCAUUCCGCUGUGUUUA